GACGAAUGCUGGCGGCGUGCUUAACACAUGCAAGUCGAACGGAAAGGCCCUGCUUUUGUGGGGUGCUCGAGUGGCGAACGGGUGAGUAACACGUGAGUAACCUGCCCUUGACUUUGGGAUAACUUCAGGAAACUGGGGCUAAUACCGGAUAGGAGCUCCUGCUGCAUGGUGGGGGUUGGAAAGUUUCGGCGGUUGGGGAUGGACUCGCGGCUUAUCAGCUUGUUGGUGGGGCAGUGGCUUACCAAGGCUUUGACGGGUAGCCGGCCUGAGAGGGUGACCGGCCACAUUGGGACUGAGAUACGGCCCAGACUCCUACGGGAGGCAGCAGUGGGGAAUAUUGCACAAUGGGCGGAAGCCUGAUGCAGCAACGCCGCGUGCGGGAUGACGGCCUUCGGGUUGUAAACCGCUUUCGCCUGUGACGAAGCGUGAGUGACGGUAAUGGGUAAAGAAGCACCGGCUAACUACGUG
rnacentral:rRNA from 1 species